UGCUUCCUAGUACCGCCUCCAAAUCCCAUGGGCCUCUGCGAAAUAGUAUUUAAGGGACGUCCGUUGCUCGUUUCGGUCUCAUUUUUCCCUGGCUUCGAAUUGGGGCACGUGACUGCUUACGGAAGGAUGGGAGUGUGCUUUCCUUGCAAUAUGGUUAAUAUCAAAGGACUUUACAGAUUGGAGCCAGGCUAGAUCAAUAUUGCACAUUUUGCUGGUAGUUCAGCAUCCUGUAACAUUCUGAAGAAUUCGAACUAUAUUCCAGGAUGAAUUGAGCCCAGGUUGUCCUGAUGACUUGUCCAAAGGAGGAGUUCAUUGCUGUAUGCCACCAAUUUCCAGCAUUCAGAGGUUCUGUUAACAGUGAAAUACUUGUUGGUUGGUUCAGAGAUCUGGUGUCUGGCCUAGAGAGCACCAAGAAUGCCAAGAAACCCUGCCAGGGAAAUUAAGCAUGUCUUCACUCAAGGCCGAGCUGAAAUAAGGUCUGAGGAAAGAGUGAACUGCAAGUGGAAGGAAUCAAAGUCUUCAAGGACAAAGAUUUUGACUAUUUGUAAUGUGUCAUCUUCAUUUUAUUAAUAAAAUUGGUCUUUACCAUA